AAACCAGCACCUCAAGUGGUCAGGAUGAUUAUUGGGCCUAAAGCAUCCGUAGCCUGCUCUGUAAGUUUUCGGUUAAAUCUGUACGCUCAACGUACAGGCUGCCGGGAAUACUGCAAAGCUAGGGAGUGGGAGAGGUAGACGGUACUCGGGAGGAAGGGGUAAAAUCCUUUGAUCUCUCGAUGACCACCUGUGGCGAAGGCGGUCUACCAGAACACGUCCGACGGUGAGGGAUGAAAGCUGGGGGAGCAAACCGGAUUAGAAACCCGAGUAGUCC
rnacentral:rRNA from 1 species